CACGUAGGCGGCCGGAUAAGUCGAAGGUGAAAUCCCCGGGCUCAACUUGGGAAUUGCCUUCGAUACUGUUCGGCUCGAGUCCGGGAGGGGGAAGCGGAAUUCCCAGUGUAGCGGUGAAAUGCGUAGAUAUUGGGAGGAACACCGGUGGCGAAGGCGGCUUCCUGGACCGGUACUGACGCUGAGGUGCGAAAGCGUGGGGAGCAAACA
rnacentral:rRNA from 1 species